AGUAGCAACCCUUACUUCAGCUUGGCAUUGGUUUUAUAUUGUGCUGAAACUUAUUUGAACAAUAUAACACACAAAUGGAAAAGACAUGCAGUUUUAACUAUUUGGGUUAACUAAAUUAGUCAAGUCUAUGAACUACUAUGUAUUCGACUAUUAAGUUAUUAGAUGGUGCGCAGCUGAUUAAGUGAAAUGAAGCACAUGGCAAAUAAAAAGAAGCUUAGUUUAAUUAAAAUGGUGUGCAGCAGUGAAGCAAUCAAACGUGAGGAGCUUUCCCGUGCACGUGCUCGGUUGUUAGGCCAG
rnacentral:misc_RNA from 1 species